rnacentral:rRNA from 1 species
UUGACCGGGGGCCCGCACAAGCGGAGGAACAUGUGGUUUAAUUCGAUGAUACGCGAGGAACCUUACAUGGACUUAAAUGUAGAUUGACAGGACUAGAGAUAGUCUUUUCUUCGGACAAUUUACAAGGUGCUGCAUGGUUGUCGUCAGCUCGUGCCGUGAGGUGUCGGGUUAAGUCCCAUAACGAGCGCAACCCCUAUCUUUAGUUACCAGCACGUAAUGGUGGAGACUCUAAAGAGACUGCCUGGGUAACCAGAGAGGAAGGUGGGGAUGACGUCAAAUCAGCACGGCCCUUACGUCCAGGGCUACACACGUGUUACAAUGGUCGGUACAAAGGGCAGCUACCUAGCGAUAGGAUGCUAAUCUCUAAAACCGGUCUCAGUUCGGAUCGGAGUCUGCAACUCGACUCCGUGAAGCUGGAUUCGCUAGUAAUCGCAUAUCAGCCAUGAUGCGGUGAAUACGUUCCCGGGCCUUGUACACACCGCCCGUCAAACCAUGGAAGUUGGGGGUACCUGAAGUCUGUUACCGCA